GAUCACGGUAGAGGACAGGCUAUCACUAUUGCUGAGGGUGACACGGGGACACCUUCCGCCGCCUCCCCUUGUGUACCUGACCCUUUUGUGCUGCCUGAAUUUGGUGUGGUGUUGUGGUGUUUCUGAGCACUUCCUCGAGAUCAGAGACGAGAAUUGGAACAGGUUACAAGACGAUGACGGAGAAAUGGGCGUUAUGUUGAAGUGGUGUGUGUGGGCGUGCUGAUGGCUGGGUGAGAGGGCGGCAGGCAGCUUGCGUCACAAGGAGCCAGACGCGACAUCCCAGGGGAGAGCAAGAAAAAGUUUUAAAAUUGAGUUUCCCAACUUUGUAAGGCCAUUGCAAGGAAGGGUAAAGGCUGUGACGGCGUGAAGACGUUAGUUAAGGUCAGGCUCUCUUUGGGGAUGAAUAAAUAGAGUGAAACCACAGCGUGGGAAGACGUGGCAAGUUUUUUUUCUUAUUUCACCUUAACUCUUCUUGGAUCCUUCCUCUUGUUAGUAGCGCCGCUACUCGUCAAAAAACCGUAACUCUUUGGCUUAAUUCAUAAAAUAAAUGUAAUAUUUGGAUAAAAUUUCAAUAGUAUCAUCAAUGCCCAGCACUUAUAAAGGUAUGUCUAAAUCAAAAUCUCGGGUAGGAGUUGCAGUAUUGGUUUCUUCAAAGCGUAAACGUGUAACUUUCUGCGCUGAGUUCCCGCUGCUGCUUGUCCUCCACGCGUCUUAAGACACUUUGAGAAGCCG